rnacentral:misc_RNA from 1 species
UGGCUCUGGCAUCGAUGAAGAACGCAGCGAAAUGCGAUACGUAAUGUGAAUUGCAGAAUCCAGUGAAUCAUCGAAUCUUUGAACGCACAUUGCGCCCGCCAGUACUCUGGCGGGCAUGCCUGUCCGAGCGUCAUUUCAACCCUCAAGCCCCCGGGCUUGGUGCUGGGGAUCGGCGAACGUCGCCGUCCCCCAAACCCAGUGGCGGUCCCGCCGAGCUUCCUCUGCGUAGUAGCAACACCUCGCACCGGAGCGCUCGCGGUCCCACGCCGUGAAACACCCCACUUCUGAACGUUGACCUCGGAUCAGGUAGGACUACCCGCUGA